rnacentral:rRNA from 1 species
AUAAGAUCCGUAGUCGAAAGGGAAACAGCCCAGACCACCAGUUAAGGUCCCCAAAUAUAUGUUAAGUGGAAAAGGAUGUGGGGUUGCUUAGACAACCAGGAUGUUGGCUUAGAAGCAGCCACCAUUGAAAGAGUGCGUAAUAGCUCACUGGUCGAGUGACCCCGCGCCGAAAAUGUACCGGGGCUAAACAUAUUACCGAAACUGUGGAUGAACCUCUUUAGAGGUUCGUGGUAGGAGAGCGUUCUAAGGGCGGUGAAGUCAGACCGGAAGGACUGGUGGAGCGCUUAGAAGUGAGAAUGCCG